AGCGAACGCUGGCGGCAGGCCUAACACAUGCAAGUCGAGCGCCCCGCAAGGGGAGCGGCAGACGGGAGAGUAACACGUGGGAACGUACCCUUCGGUUCGGAACAACCCAGGGAAACUUGGGCUAAUACCGGAUACGUCCGAAAGGAGAAAGAUUCAUCGCCGAGGGAUCGGCCCGCGUCUGAUUUGCUAGUUGGUGGGGUAACGGCCCUCCAAGGCGACGAUCAGUAGCUGGGCUGAGAGGAUGAUCAGCCUCACUGGGACUGAGACACGGCCCAGACUCCUACGGGGGGCAGCAGUGGGGAAUAUUGGACAAGGGGCGCAAGCCUGAUCCAGCCAUGCCGCGUGGGUGAUGAAGGCCCUAGGGUUGUAAAGCCCUUUCGGCGGGGAAGAUAAUGACGGUACCCGCAGAAGAAGCCCCGGCUAACUUCGUGCCAGCCGCCGCCGUAA
rnacentral:rRNA from 1 species